rnacentral:rRNA from 1 species
GAUGAACGCUAGCGAUAGGCUUAACACAUGCAAGUCGAGGGACCGGCGGAUGGGUGAGUAACGCGUAUGCAACUUGCCUCUUCGUGGGGGAUAACCCGGAGAAAUCCGGACUAAUACCGCAUACUAAGAGAUAGGCAUUCGUUCCAUUAGUUAGUUGGUGAGGUAACGGCUCACCAAGGCAUCGAUGGAUAGGUGAGCUGAGAGGCUGAUACACCACGUCGGGACUGAGACACGGACCAAAAUCCUAGGGGAGGCAGCAGUGAGGAAUAUUGGUCAAUGGAGGAAGAUCUGAACCAGCCAAGUCGCGUGAAGGAGGACGGUCUAUGGAUGGUAAACUUCUUUAGUAGGAGAGUAAGUAGCCUAAGAAUAAGUAUCGGCUAACUCCGUGCCAGCAGCCGCGGUAAUUC